rnacentral:rRNA from 1 species
GCCCAGACUCCUACGGGAGGCAGCAGUGGGGAAAAUUGCACAAUGGGGGAAACCCUGAUGCAGCAACGCCACGUGAGUGAAGAAGUCAUUCGUGAUGUAAAGCUCUAUCAGCAGGGAAGAAAAUGACGGUACCUGAGUAAGAAGCCCCGGCUAACUACGUGCCAGCAGCCGCGGUAAUACGUAGGGGGCAAGCGUUAUCCGGAUUUACUGGGUGUAAAGGGAGCGUAGACGGCGAUGCAAGUCUGAAGUGAAAGGCGGGGGCCCAACCCCCGGACUGCUUUGGAAACUGUAUAGCUGGAGUGCAGGAGAGGUAAGUGGAAUUCCUAGUGUAGCGGUGAAAUGCGUAGAUAUUAGGAGGAACACCAGUGGCGAAGGCGGCUUGCUGGACAGUAACUGACGUUGAGGCUCGAAAGCGUGGGGAGCAAACAGGAUUAGAUACCCGCGUAAG